rnacentral:misc_RNA from 1 species
AAAAUCUAAAUAAAAUUAUUUUUCAUGGGAUGAUAAUAAUAAUAAUAAUAAUAAGUCUCGAGUUCCAAUUUUCUUAGGAACCAAAUCAACAAUAGCAGGUAAAUAAUAGACGAAGAAACAGAAUUAUGCUUGGUUGAAGAAAGAAGCAAGAAGUUUGAACAAGGCCUUAGCAUUCUCACAAUUGGGAUCAAAUAUAUGGAAGAUGUGAUCCUCUCCUUUGGUUUCAAUAAUCUUGGCAGUCCCUGGCCACCCACUCUUCACCAAUUUUUUCAUAGUACAUCCUUCCUCUAUCCCUUAAUAUGUCUUUCUCUGCAACUAAAACAAGCAGUCUCU